rnacentral:rRNA from 1 species
UGCAGUCGAGCGAUGAUGCCCAGCUUGCUGGGUUGAUUAGUGGCGAACGGGUGAGUAACACGUGAGUAACCUGCCCCUGACUCUGGGAUAAGCGUUGGAAACGACGUCUAAUACUGGAUAUGAUCGCCGGCCGCAUGGUCUGGUGGUGGAAAGAUUUUUUGGUUGGGGAUGGACUCGCGGCCUAUCAGCUUGUUGGUGAGGUAAUGGCUCACCAAGGCGACGACGGGUAGCCGGCCUGAGAGGGUGACCGGCCACACUGGGACUGAGACACGGCCCAGACUCCUACGGGAGGCAGCAGUGGGGAAUAUUGCACAAUGGGCGAAAGCCUGAUGCAGCAACGCCGCGUGAGGGAUGACGGCCUUCGGGUUGUAAACCUCUUUUAGUAGGGAAGAAGCGAAAGUGACGGUACCUGCAGAAAAAGCACCGGCUAACUACGUGCCAGCAGCCGCGGUAAUACGUAGGGUGCAAGCGUUGUCCGGAAUUAUUGGGCGUAAAGAGCUCGUAGGCGGUUUGUCGCGUCUGCUGUGAAAUCCCGAGGCUCAACCUCGGGCUUGCAGUGGGUACGGGCAGACUAGAGUGCGGUAWGGGAGAUUGGAAUUCCUGGUGUAGCGGUGGAAUGCGCAGAUAUCACGAGGAACACCGAUAGCGAACGCAGAUCUCUGGAGCGUACUGACGCUGAYGAGCGUAAGCAUGGGGAGCGAACAUGAUUAGAUACCCUGCUAGURCAUGGCGUAAACGAUGGCGCUAGAUGUACGGACCAAUGC